rnacentral:rRNA from 1 species
AGCGAACGCUGGCGGCAGGCUUAACACAUGCAAGUCGAGCGGGCAUCCUUGUGGUGUCAGCGGCAGACGGGUGAGUAACGCGUGGGAACGUGCCCUUCGGCUCGGAAUAACUCAGGGAAACUUGAGCUAAUACCGGAUACGUGCGAGAGCAGAAAGGUUUAUCUGCCGAAGGAUCGGCCCGCGUCUGAUUAGCUAGUUGGUGAGGUUACGGCUCACCAAGGCGACGAUCAGUAGCUGGUCUGAGAGGAUGAUCAGCCACACUGGGACUGAGACACGGCCCAGACUCCUACGGGAAGCAGCAGUGGGGAAUAUUGGACAAUGGGAGCAACCCUGAUCCAGCCAUGCCGCGUGAGUGAUGACGGCCUUAGGGUUGUAAAGCUCUUUUCUCCGGGACGAUAAUGACGGUACCGGAGGAAUAAGCCCCGGCUAACUUCGUG